AAACAUAGGAAAGUUUGACAAGCUUCAGUAUGUUCCUUCACUUUUCAAAGUCAGGAAAGUUUGACGUCGUAAUAUAUGACUUCGUAAUUAAUUAAUUAGUACGCAAGGGAUGUGUGCUAUCUUGUGCCUGUAUCGUCCUUUGUAUCUCUCUUCAAGCAGAGGACAAUUGCUAGUAUAAAGUAGCGCAAGUGAAAGAGGCAGGCCUUCCUCCACUGGAAGGGUUGUAAGCUUCGGACAGUUGAAGAUCCAAAUACUUUCAAGAGAGGUGAGGAAUUGAAAGCCCUUGCUCAGUUUCUUUAGAUUUGGGAAGCCUGCAAUACUCAACUUAACAAGAGAUCUGGGAAGCAGUAUCUCCGUCUCCUUUGAAUUCUUAGCAGCAGGUGGAAAUGACACCAGACCUCCAUCAUCUUCACCCCUCAGAUCCAAUUCUCUCAAAGAGUGUUGUUAGGUUGGUGGGGAAGAAAGUUGUAGUCGUCAAACCUUCAAAGUAAUCAAUUUCCAGUUUUUCAAGAUUACUGGUGUGCAUCAUGUCUCUCGCCAACUGUGCCACCUCCAAUUUAUCGCAAUUUUCGAUCCGUAUCACUCUUGGCCACACAUUCAUUCUCGGCAACGAAACAAGACUUUGACAAUAAAAAAUUAUUAAUGACCGACGGUCGGUGAGGCCGCACAGUCCCUCGGGCAAGGAUUUCAGGUUUGGGCAGUCCCUGAUGUCAAUUUCUUCGAGUUGCCAGCUGUCAUCGAGGAACCUCUCACUGAUUAGCUCCAGCUGUCCACAACACAUUAUCUCAAGCUGUUUAAGAGACCUGGGUAAUUGACUUUUGCAUAAUAAGCACAUCAAAGAGGGACAAAGCCAUAUUCUCAAACUCUCAAGACGAGAAGAAGAAGAACCGUUAUCCACCUCCUCCUCUUUCUCUAUUAAUGACUUCAAAUUCCCACAAUUCCUUAUCUCUAUUCUUUUUAGGCUGAGAGAUAUCUGGUAUUUUGCAAAGUGCAACAGAGAUCCGCAGUCCACAAUCACUGUGACUUGGAGACAAGGUGGCAGACCAACAUCAGGAAAAGAAACAAGACUUGAACAUUUACUUAUGUGCAGCUCUUGAAGUGAUCUAAGGUGAUGCAAUCCUUC